rnacentral:lncRNA from 10 species
AUUCAAACAGUCUAUAGGAUUUGGCAAACUGGAGUUCAUUGAUGACCUUAGCAUGAGCUGUUUUAGGGGAGUCAAGGAGAAAGUAGCCAGAUAGAAAUGAGUUGAAGAGUAAAUAGGGAUGUCUGGUUAAAGAUAACAAGUUGAACAUAUUCACUAACCUCCACUCUCCCAAAACUUCAGUAAAAUGAUAGUAAUGGAAUUACACUCAAGGACAAAGAGAUAGUGGGGUAAAUAAUAGCAACAACAUUUCGGAAGUUAGUGAGCUGCUAACUUUCAAGUAAUUUUUAACAAAUUAGUUAACAAGCAGUUGGAUGUGUGGUAACUGACAGCAGAUUUUAAAAAGCUGAUGGGAAUUAUUUUAGGAGAAAGGUCAAAAUGAUGAUGCAGGAGAGAAGGUUACAGGGAUAGAGUUGGUGAAAUGAGAUUCAGAGCACACACAAUGGAUGACAGGAUUUUAUAGGAAAAACAUGGUUUUUGUUGUUGUUGUACUGACAGGAAAAAAGAAGAAAAUGGGUGCAGAGGAAGUUAGGUUUGUAAAUUUGGGGAUGGGAAUGUGGCAUUCCUGCCUCUUGACUACUGUUGUCAUACUGAAGCUUUCAAAAUUGGUGACAAAGUUGUUAUAUGAAAAUGGAGUGAAAGAGAGGUAGACAGUUUAUGGAGAGAGAAAAAGAGUGGUCUCAGAAAAUGGGAAAUCCAGCUUCCUAGAGAAAAGUAGUAAUUGCCUGAAGUAUAAAGUACCCAUUUGAGGUUGUUACUCAUGAAGUUAUAGUGGUACUAAUCUGCCUGUUAUGCGAUCAACAUAAAGAUGUUAGUGACUCAAAGGAAUCCAGUAACACCAAAUCAAAAGCAAGAGCAGGAAAUGCUGACAUGUGGAGUCAACCAUUAAAUGUGACAUUUCUGGGAACCAAGACACCAGCAGGUAGGAGACAAGUGGUUACAGUCUAUUCAGUCUGCCAUGCUUAGAGUUUUUGCCAUGUGAUAUAGUGUGAAUGUUCUGUCCCCUCCAAAUCUCAUGUUGAAAUGUGACCUCCAAAGUUGGAGGUGGACCUAGUGGGAGGCGUUUGGGUCAUGGGGGCAGAUCCCUCAUGAAUGUCUUGGUGCUGUCCUUUUGUAAUGAGUAAGUUCUAAGUUCUCACAUGAGAUCAUGCCCAGCCAAACCCCUUUUCCGUAUCAAUUACUAGGUCUCAGGUAUUCCUUUACACCAAUGCAAACAGACUAACGUACUAUGUGAUAAGUGUAUGUUCCAUGGCCCUGUCUAUUGUUAAUAAUGAG